AUUGAACGCUGGCGGCAUGCCUUACACAUGCAAGUCGAACGGCAGCACGGGCUUCGGUCUGGUGGCGAGUGGCGAACGGGUGAGUAAAGCAUCGGAACGUACCAUUGAGUGGGGGAUAACGUAGCGAAAGUUACGCUAAUACCGCAUAUUCUCUUCGGAGGAAAGCAGGGGAUCGCAAGACCUUGCGCUCUUUGAGCGGCCGAUGUUGGAUUAGCUAGUUGGUGGGGUAAAGGCCCACCAAGGCGACGAUCCGUAGCUGGUCUGAGAGGAUGAUCAGCCACACUGGGACUGAGACACGGCCCAGACUCCUACGGGAGGCAGCAGUGGGGAAUUUUGGACAAUGGGGGCAACCCUGAUCCAGCCAUGCCGCGUGAGUGAAGAAGGCCUUCGGGUUGUAAAGCUCUUUCGCGAGGGAAGAAAACGUACAGGUUAAUACCCUGUGCGGAUGACGGUACCUUGAUAAGAAGCACCGGCUAACUACGUGCCAGCCGCCGCCGUAAUAC
rnacentral:rRNA from 1 species